rnacentral:rRNA from 1 species
AUGAACGCUAGCGGCAGGCUUAACACAUGGCAAGUCGAGGGGCAGCAUGAAGGUUAGCAAUAACCUUUGAUGGCGACCGGCGCAAGGGUGCGUAACGCGUGAGCAACUUGCCCGUUUUCUGGGGAAUAAACCGGUGGAAACGCCGACUAAUACCCCAUGGCAUCAGAAUGAGGCAUCUCAAUCUGAUUAAAGAAUUUCGGAAACGGAUAGGCUCGCGUGACAUUAGCUAGAUGGCGGGGUAACGGCUCACCAUGGCUACGAUGUCUAGGGGUUCUGAGAGGAAGGUCCCCCACACUGGAACUGAGACACGGUCCAGACUCCUACGGGAGGCAGCAGUGAGGAAUAUUGGUCAAUGGUCUGACGACUGAACCAGCCAUGCCGCGUGAAGGUCACGGCCCUAUGGGUCUUAAACUUCUUUUGUAAGGGAGCAAUAAGGUGCACGUGUGCAUCGAUGAGAGUACCUUACGAAUAAGCAUCGGCUAACUCCGUG